rnacentral:misc_RNA from 1 species
AAAAUGCAAUAAAUAGUAUAAAUUAUAAAAUUUAGUAAAUUAUUAAAUCUUUAAAUAUAUAUUGUGUCCCUUAGUAUUCUGUGGGGUAUGCCUAUUUAAGCGUUAUCUACACCCUUAAGCUCUACUUAGUGUUAGGUGUCUAUUCUACCUUUGCGCGUAGACUCGUCCUAAAUGUAUUAGUAGUAGUUUUUAUUUUCUCCCGCGUAGUAUAUUGCGCUUUUUAAGGCUAUAGCGGCCUGUGUUCUAUAAGCUAAACCCCCCUAUCUUUAACCUUAGAUUAGGUAGGGAUACCCGCUAAACUUAAGC